rnacentral:rRNA from 1 species
AACGAACGCUGGCGGCAGGCUUAACACAUGCAAGUCGAACGCCCCGCAAGGGGGUGGCAGACGGGUGAGUAACACGUGGGAACCUUCCUAGAGGUACGGAACAACUCAGGGAAACUUGAGCUAAUACCGUAUACGCUCUUGCGAGGAAAGAUUUAUCGCCUUUAGACGGGCCCGCGUCGGAUUAGCUAGUUGGUGGGGUAACGGCCUACCAAGGCGACGAUCCGUAGCUGAUCUGAGAAGAUGAUCAGCCACACUGGGACUGAGACACGGCCCAGACUCCUACGGGAGGCAGCAGUGGGGAAUCUUGGACAAUGGGCGCAAGCCUGAUCCAGCCAUGCCGCGUGAGUGAAGAAGGCCUUCGGGUUGUAAAGCUCUUUUACCAGGGACGAUAAUGACGGUACCUGGAGAAUAAGCCCCGGCAAACUUCGUGCCAGCCGCCGCAGUAA